rnacentral:rRNA from 1 species
UACGUAGGUGGCAAGCGUUGUCCGGAUUUACUGGGCGUAAAGAGCGCGCAGGCGGUCGUUCAAGUCGCGUGUGAAAGCCCCCCGGCUCAACUGGGGAGGGUCACGCGAUACUGAUCGACUCGAAGGCAGGAGAGGGAAGUGGAAUUCCCGGUGUAGUGGUGAAAUGCGUAGAUAUCGGGAGGAACACCAGUGGCGAAGGCGACUUCCUGGCCUGUUCUUGACGCUCGUGCU